AACGCAUAUUGCGGUCGAGGCUUAGGCCAAGACCAUGUCUGCCUCAGCGUCGGAGUAACCCCUCACCCCCCUUUUACACAAGGUGGGGUGGACCUGGCCUCCCCAGUGCUUGACCACUGGGCUGGCUAAAGUGCAGAGGUACGGCACGGACCUGUAUGGCACCAGCAAGGUAGGUAGCUCGUCUACUCCAGCUGAUGCUUUGGGCCCGCCCGCCGCACCCGCAGGAACCCCCACACUCUUUAUCGACCUGAGAUCAGGCAAGGCUACCCGCUGAACUUAA
rnacentral:misc_RNA from 1 species